rnacentral:rRNA from 1 species
AGCGCAUAUGGUGGAUGCCUUGGUAAUAAGAGGCGAUGAAGGACGUUUUAGCUUGCGAUAAGCUUCGGGGAAUUAGCAAUAAAGUUUUGAUCCGAAGAUUUCCGAAUGGGGCAACCUAAUUAAAUUUAUAUUUAAUUAUUAUAUAUUGAAUAAAAUAGAUAUAUAAAGCGAACCUGGAGAACUGAAACAUCUCAUUAUCCAGAGGAAAAUAAAUCAAUAUGAUGAUUCUGUUAGUAGCGGUGAGCGAAAACGGAUUAGCUCUGUUAUAUAUUGUUUUUAGAAUUUUAGUAGAAUAUUUUGGAAAAUUUAACCAUAGAAGGUGAUAGUCCUGUAUAUUAAAAAAUUUUUUAAAUGUUUAUAACUAUUUUGAGUAGGUCGAGACACGUGGAAUCUUGAUUGAAUAUAGGGGGACCAUCCUCUAAAGCUAAAUACUACUUAUUAACCGAUAGUGAACUAGUACCGUGAGGGAAAGGUAAAAAGAACCCCUGUUAGGGGAGUGAAAUAGAACCUGAAACCAUUUUGCGUACAAGCAGUCAAAGCUUUUAUAUUUAUUUAUAAAAGUAAUGGCGUACCUUUUGUAUAAUGGGUCAGCGACUUACUUAUAAUGGCAAGCUUAACUUUUUUAAGGUAGGCGUAGGUAACUCGAGUCUUAAAUGGGCGUUAUAGUCUUUAUAAGUAAACCCGAAACCGAGCGAUCUAUCCAUGACCAGGAUGAAUAUUAGGUAAAACUAAUUGGAGGUCCGAACCCACUUAUGUUGCAAAAUGAGGGGAUGAGUUGUGGAUCGGAGUGAAAGGCUAAUCAAGCUCGGAGAUAGCUGGUUCUCCGCGAAAACUAUUUAGGUAGUGCCUUAUAUAUGAUUUUUGGGGGUAGAGCACUGUUUCGAAUAGGGGAUUUUUUAAUCUACCAACUCGUUGCAAACUACGAAUACCAAAAAUUUAAGUAUAAGAGACACACGGUGGGUGAUAAGGUCCAUCGUGGAAAGGGAAAGAGCCCAGACCAUCAGUUAAGGUCCUUAAAUUAUAAUUAAGUGGAAAACGAUGUGGAAAGGCAUAAACAGCCAGGAGGUUGGCUUAGAAGCAGCCAUCCUUUAAAGAAAGCGUAAUAGCUCACUGGUCUAGUCAUUCUGCGCGGAAGAUUUAACGGGGCUAAAUUAUAUACCGAAACUAUGGGAUAAAAAUAAUUUUUAUUUUUAUCGGUAGCGGAGCGUUCUGUAAGUUUGUGAAGAUAAAUUGUGAAAUUUUUUGGAAAUAUCAGAAGUGCGAAUGCUGACAUGAGUAACGAUAAUGCGGGUGAAAAACCUGCACGCCGAAAAUCUAAGGUUUCCUACGCAACAUUAAUUGACGUAGGGUUAGUCGAUACCUAAGGUGAGGCAGAAAUGCGUAAUCGAUGGAUAACAGGUUAAUAUUCCUGUACUUUUUAUACAAUAACUUUUUUUAUUAAAAGUUUUAUGAUGGAGGGACUGAGAAGGCUAGACCAUCCAUUUAUUUGGAUUAUGGUUUAAGCAUUUAGAAAGAAUAUAUAGGAAAAUCCGUAUAUUUAUUUUUGAGAUGUGAUGACGAAUUUGAUAUCUUUCUGAUAUCAAAGAAGUGGUUUAUGCCAUGCUUACGAGAAAAUCUUCUAAAUAAUUUUUGUAUAAAAAAUCGUACUAUAAACCGACACAGGUGGAUAGGUAGAGAAUACUAAGGCGGUUGAGACAACUUAGGUGAAGGAACUCGGCAAAAUGACACCGUAACUUCGGGAGAAGGUGUACCUAGAUAUUUAUCUAUUUAGGUUUCAAAAAAUUGGUAGCUGCGACUGUUUAUUAAAAACACAGCACUCUGCUAACUUGCAAAAGGAUGUAUAGGGUGUGACGCCUGCCCGGUGCCGGAAGGUUAAUUGAGGAGGUUAGAAUUAUUUCGAAGCUUUUGAUAGAAGCCCCGGUGAACGGCGGCCGUAACUAUAACGGUCCUAAGGUAGCGAAAUUCCUUGUCGGGUAAGUUCCGACCUGCACGAAUGGCGUAACGAUGGCUACACUGUCUCCACCUAAGACUCAGUGAAAUUGAAUUUGCUGUUAAGAUGCAGUAUACCCGCGGCUAGACGGAAAGACCCCGUGAACCUUUACUAUAGCUUUAUAUUGAAUAUUAAUUUUAUUUGUGUAGGAUAGAUGGUAGAUAAUGAUGCAAAGGCGCUAGCUUUUGUUAAAUCAACCUUGAAAUACCAUCCUUUUGAUUUUGAUAUUCUAACUUAUUGACCGUUAUCCGGUAUAAGGACAGUGUAUGGUGGGUAGUUUGACUGGGGCGGUCUCCUCCUAAAGAGUAACGGAGGAGCACAAAGGUACCCUCGAAACGUUUAGAAAUCGUUUUGUGAGCGCAAAGGUAUAAGGGUGCUUGACUGCGAGAGUGACAAUUCGAGCAGAGUCGAAAGACGGUCUUAGUGAUCCGGUGGUUCUUUAUGGAAAGGCCAUCGCUUAACGAAUAAAAGGUACUCCGGGGAUAACAGGCUAAUACCGCCUAAGAGUUCAUAUCGACGGCGGUGUUUGGCACCUCGAUGUCGGCUCAUCACAUCCUGGGGCUGAAGUCGGUCCCAAGGGUUGGGCUGUUCGCCCAUUAAAGCGGCACGCGAGCUGGGUUCAGAACGUCGUGAGACAGUUCGGUCCCUAUCCGUCGUGGGCGCAGGAAAUUUGAGAGGAGCUGUCCUUAGUACGAGAGGACCGGGAUGGACGCACCGCUGGUGUACCAGUUGUCUUGCCAAAGGCAUCGCUGGGUAGCUAUGUGCGGACGGGAUAAGCGCUGAAAGCAUCUAAGUGCGAAGCCCCCCUCAAGAUGAGAUUUCCCAUUUCU